UACAGAGGGUGCGAGCGUUAAUCGGAAUUACUGGGCGUAAAGCGCGCGUAGGCGGCCCGGUAAGUCGGAUGUGAAAUCCCGGGGCUCAACCCCGGACCUGCAUCCGAUACUCCCGGGCUGGAGGCAGGUAGGGGAGAUCGGAAUUCCUGGUGUAGCGGUGAAAUGCGCAGAUAUCAGGAGGAACACCGGUGGCGAAGGCGGAUCUCUGGGCCUUGCCUGACGCUGAGGCGCGAAAGCUAGGGGAGCGAACAGG
rnacentral:rRNA from 1 species